GUGGGUUGCACGACUCCCAAAAACCCUGUGAACAUACCUGUAUCGUCGUUGCUUCGGCGGGUUGGCACGGCCUGCGGGCACCGGGAGACCGGACCCGCGGCGCUGCGCCAGGCGCCGCCACAAUUACCCUGUACCGUCCGACGGGCGGGGCAAAUUGCGGCGGUACCGCCUGCCGGAGGGCCUAACCAAACCCAACACGUUUGUCUCUAGUGGUCUCGUCUGAGUUGGCAUGCGGAAUACGCUGAAACA
rnacentral:misc_RNA from 1 species